rnacentral:rRNA from 1 species
GACGAACGCUGGCGGCGUGCCUAAUACAUGCAAGUCGAACGCAGUGGGGACGGGUGAGUAACACGUGGGUCACCUCCCAUCAGAGGGGAUAACACUUGGAAACAGGUGCUAAACCGAUACUGAUGGAUGGACCCGCGGUGCAUUAGCUAGUUGGUGAGGUAACGGCUAACCAAGGCCACGAUGCAUAGCCAGUCUGAGAGGGUGGUCGGCCACACUGGGACUGAGACACGGCCCAGACGCCUACGGGAGGCAGAAGUAGGGAAUCUUCGGCAAUGGACGAAAGUCUGACCGAGCAACGCCGCGUGAGUGAAGAAGGUGUUCGGAUCGUAAAACUCUGUUGGUAGAGAAGCGGUAUCUAACCAGAAAGCCACGGCUAACUACGUGCCAGCCGCCGCGGUAAUUC